rnacentral:rRNA from 1 species
UACGUAGGGUCCAAGCGUUAUCCGGAAUCACUGGGCGUAAAGCGUGCGUAGGUGGCGCGUUAAGUGAGAUGUUAAAUCGUGUGGCUCAACCAUAUCGAUGCAUCUCAUACUGGCGUGCUAGAGGACAGCAGAGGCAGGUGGAAUUUGUAGUGUAGCAGUGAAAUGCGUAGAUAUUACAAGGAACACCAAUGGCGAAGGCAGCUUGCUGGGCUACUCCUGACACUGAGGUACGAAAGCGUGGGGAGCGAACAGG